rnacentral:rRNA from 1 species
UAGGGAAUCUUCGGCAAUGGACGGAAGUCUGACCGAGCAACGCCGCGUGAGUGAAGAAGGUUUUCGGCUCGUAAAGCUCUGUUGUUAGAGAAGAACGUUGGUAGGAGUGGAAAAUCUACCAAGUGACGGUAACUAACCAGAAAGGGACGGCUAACUACGUGCCAGCAGCCGCGGUAAUACGUAGGUCCCGAGCGUUGCCCGGAUUUAUUGGGCGUAAAGCGAGCGCAGGCGGUUCUUUAAGUCUGAAGUUAAAGGCAGUGGCUUAACCAUUGUACGCUUUGGAAACUGGAGGGAUUGAGUGCAGAAGGGGAGAGUGGAAUUCCAUGUGUAGCGGUGGAAGGCGUAGAUAUAUGGAGGAACACCGGUGGCGAAAGCGGCUCUCUGGUCUGUAACUGACGAUGAGGCUCGAAAGCGUGGGGAGCAAACAGG